CUACGGGGUGCUCCAGUGGGGAAUAUUGCACAAUGGGCGCAAGCCUGAUGCAGCGACGCCGCGUGAGUGAUGAAGUAUUUCGGUAUGUAAAGCUCUAUCAGCAGGGAAGAAAAUGACGGUACCUGACUAAGAAGCCCCGGCUAACUACGUGCCAGCAGCCGCGGUAAUACGUAGGGGGCAAGCGUUAUCCGGAUUUACUGGGUGUAAAGGGAGCGUAGGUGGCAAGGCAAGUCAGAAGUGAAAACCCAGAGCUCAACUUUGGGACUGCUUUUGAAACUGUCUAGCUAGAGUGCAGGAGAGGUAAGCGGAAUUCCUAGUGUAGCGGUGACAUGCGUAGAUAUUAGGAGGAACACCAGUGGCGAAGGCGGCUUACUGGACUGUAACUGACACUGAGGCUCGAAAGCGUGGGGAGCAAACAGGAUUAGAUACCCCCGUAGUC
rnacentral:rRNA from 1 species